ACUCCUACGGGAGGCAGCAGUAGGGAAUAUUGGACAAUGGGCGGAAGCCUGAUCCAGCCAUCCCGCGUGCAGGAAUAAGGCCCUAUGGGUUGUAAACUGCUUUUAAUAGGGGAGAAAAGCUUUGAUUUAUCAGAGUUUGACGGUACCUAAAGAAUAAGCACCGGCUAACUCCGUGCCAGCAGCCGCGGUAAUACGGAGGGUGCAAGCGUUAUCCGGAUUUACUGGGUUUAAAGGGUGCGCAGGCGGUAAAGUAAGUCAGUGGUGAAAGCUCACAGCUCAACUGUGAAACUGCCAUUGAUACUGCUAUACUUGAGUUUGGGAGAGGUAGGCGGAAUACAUCAUGUAGCGGUGAAAUGCAUAGAUAUGAUGUAGAACACCGAUUGCGAAGGCAGCUUACUAAACCAAUACUGACGCUCAUGCACGAAAGCGUGGGUAGCGAACAGGAUUAGAUACCCUGGUAGCUACGAG
rnacentral:rRNA from 1 species